ensembl:lncRNA
GUUACAAUGAAAGCACUACACUUCAUACAUAUUUAUAUUUCGUAUUUUCACCGGCAGUACCGAUAAUCGAUAAUAAAGUAUUUUUAUUAUCGAUUAUCAAUUCAUUAUCUUGAAACGCCCACCGAGUGCCAAUGGAAAAUGUUUAACAUGCUACUUGUGUGUUUUGUCGAUUAAUAAAAAAAUGUCACAGCUUGGAUUGGUGAAAACAUUUUAGAGAAAUAUUGAAGCAGUAUAAAUGGGAAUUUGCUUUUUCUUGGUUUUCUAUUUUGAGAGCACGUCACAGAACAUCUGUAUUGAAAGAUGGAAAGAAAAACCGCCCUUGUGCUAUAUGCUUUCAAACUUAUAUGACCCUGCAAAGAUUCGCCCCCUGGAGCCUGCUGUGAUUGGAACCCUGGAACUAGAGAGUGUUACAGCUUAGACUCAUGAAGGGGACAAACUAAGUCAACCUAAUGCUAAAAGACGAACACCAAUUGGCACACACUUGUGCUGGUUUUCUAUGAUGUGUGCCUCUCUAUGGGUAAUGGCCAUCUAUAUUCAGCUGCAUAUUUAACCAAAGCCAUAAGAACUUCCACCUCAAUUGUCUUUCAACAUGUGAGUUGAUGAGGGCAAGAUAGCUUAUUCAGGGGCAAAGCCGGAAGCUACAUUUACUUAAAAAAAUAAUAAGUAUUAAUCUGUGGUCAUUGUAAACUGUAAUAAACACAAUGACCUUGACCAUGUUCAGUGACAAUGAUCGAGGUCAGCAACAAUUUUCAUUAGUAAUGUUAGGAGCCCUUUGCUCAGAAGUUGUAGUGUUUGUACAGAGGCCUAAGGGUAAUGAAACUGACACACAGAAGCCAAUGAUGACCAUUCCCACAUGCAUUCAUCCAUGCUACUCACAUUAGGAUAAAUAUGAGAAGCUAUUAACAUGAUGAAGGCAAGUAAAAUGUCCCCUAUGUCACUGAGAGAUAUCUUUAUCAACCUCAAUCUUGCACGUUGUAUAUUUAAGACAUCUAACACAUUGAUAAUAUUAUCAAUGAAAGCGUUCUUUAAACAGUUCUACAAAAAAAAUGGAAUGCAUAUACUUUCACUGUGCUAACUAAUGAUACACGGAGAAAAAGAAAAUGCGAUCAAAAGUACGCUACGUUUCCUUGAAAAACAUGGGCGGAUGUACUUCCCUUCCUCGAUAUAUCACUAAUCAGUCGUUCCUGGACAACCGCAGUCUAUUAUGAGGCUGAAUGUCAAUUCAGCCGCCGGCAUAAUUGAGGUAGCGGUGUGUUGGGCGCCCGGCGGGAGGAAUGCCGUGGUGGCGGGUAAUUACAGAGCAUUAUCGCUCAGCAGGUCAUUAUAUGCCACAAGGCCAGAGUCAGGUUCUUAAAGUCUAGCCGUAAUUUUUUAAAGAUCACAUUUGUGACCGUUUUUGCUUGACAUGUCCCUCUGUGUUUUUGUCUGUGUUGUGUUGUGAUAUCCUAAUCCUAAACUCACCUUGUAAAGACGUCCAUUGGAAAGCAAAAUCCAAGAAAUGUCUAGCCUGGCUUCCACUCCAUCAGCGCAGCAAUUCUUCACAGCUGUAUAUCUCCAACAC